UGGAACUGGUGGAAGGCUUUGUGAGC
rnacentral:piRNA from 1 species